rnacentral:ncRNA from 1 species
GGGCAUCUGGUGGAUGCCUAGGCGUCAAGAGGCGAUGAAGGACGUGGCACUCUGCGAUAAGCCAUGGGGAGCCGAGAGCAGGCUUUGAUCCGUGGAUUUCCGAAUGGGGCAACCCACCCCUUUGGGGUAUCCAUUUCUGAAUUCAUAGGAAAUGGAGGCGAACCCGGUGAACUGAAACAUCUCAGUAACCGGAGGAAAGGACAUCAACCGAGACUCCGUUAGUAGUGGCGAGCGAACGCGGACUAGCCCAGUGACUUGAAGUUUCUAACCAGAACGGCAUGGAAAGGCCGGCCACAGCGGGUGACAGCCCCGUAUGGGUGUUGCAGCUUUAAGUCCUUGAGUAGGGCGGGGCACGUGAAACCCUGUCUGAACAUGGGGGGACCACCCUCCAAGGCUAAGUACUCCUUGACGACCGAUAGUGAACCAGUACCGUGAGGGAAAGGUGAAAAGCACCCCGAUGAGGGGAGUGAAACAGUUCCUGAAACCGGAUGCCU